rnacentral:lncRNA from 1 species
UUUUCUUUGUGUUGUUUUCUUAUUUUGAUGAAUCUAUGGGUUGUAUCGGGGGGUGUGAACCAUGGAUAAGUUGGAAUACAGUAAAUUUUACAUUAAUAUAAAUAAAUAAUGAGUUCACAACACUACCUACAGUGGUGAUUUAUUUUUCUUAUACUAACGGAUCUCAUGAGUUUUCUGUUGAGUUUUGUGUUGUGAAGUUUUCAAGUUUUGG